UACGUAGGUGGCAAGCGUUGUCCGGAUUUACUGGGCGUAAAGAGCGCGCAGGCGGUCGUUCAAGUCGCGUGUGAAAGCCCCCGGCUCAACUGGGGAGGGUCACGCGAUACUGCUCGACUCGAAGGCAGGAGAGGGAAGUGGAAUUCCCGGUGUAGUGGUGAAAUGCGUAGAUAUCGGGAGGAACACCAGUGGCGAAGGCGACUUCCUGGCCUGUUCUUGACGCUGAGGCGCGAAAGCUAGGGUAGCAAACAGG
rnacentral:rRNA from 1 species